GAUGAACGCUGGCGGCGUGCCUAAUACAUGCAAGUCGAGCGAACGGACGAGAAGCUUGCUUUUCUGAUGUUAGCGGCGGACGGGUGAGUAACACGUGGAUAACCUACCUAUAAGACUGGGAUAACUUCGGGAACCGGAGCUAAUACCGGAUAAUAUUUUGAACCGCAUGGUUCAAAAGUGAAAGACGGUCUUGCUGUCACUUAUAGAUGGAUCCGCGCUGCAUUAGCUAGUUGGUAAGGUAACGGCUUACCAAGGCAACGAUGCAUAGCCGACCUGAGAGGGUGAUCGGCCACACUGGAACUGAGACACGGUCCAGACUCCUACGGGAGGCAGCAGUAGGGAAUCUUCCGCAAUGGGCGAAAGCCUGACGGAGCAACGCCGCGUGAGUGAUGAAGGUCUUCGGAUCGUAAAACUCUGUUAUUAGGGAAGAACAUAUGUGUAAGUAACUGUGCACAUCUUGACGGUACCUAAUCAGAAAGCCACGGCUAACUACGUG
rnacentral:rRNA from 1 species